rnacentral:rRNA from 1 species
GACGAGGUGCACAAACGUUAUUCGGAAUUACUGGGCUUAAAGCGUGCGUAGGCGGCUUAGCAAGUCGGGUGUGAAAGCCCUCGGCUCAACCGAGGAAUUGCGCCCGAAACUGCUGAGCUUGAGUGAGACAGAGGUGAGCGGAACUGAUGGUGGAGCGGUGAAAUGCGUUGAUAUCAUCAGGAACACCGGUGGCGAAGGCGGCUCACUGGGUCUCUACUGACGCUGAGGUACGAAAGCCAGGGUAGCGAACGGG